AGAGUGAAUUCCAUGGCUUGAAGAAGUUGUACAGUACAACUAGUAAUUAGCUGAGAACAGAGCUCUAAUCAGCCCAAUUACUAAAGAGAUAGAAGAAAAACUACAAGACAUUUUAUUUCACUUCUCAAAGAUUCUGUUUUAGUAGGACUGGUGUAAUAUUGGUUGGCAUUGGGCCAGCAGCAUUGCUGUGUUAUAUAAGGUGACCAUAUAAGAAGGUUUGAUCAGGGGAUGUGGAUGAUGCCUGAGAUGCCAAACCCUGAGAAAACAUGCUACAUAUACCAAGUGCUCUAUCUCCAGCGGUCACUGGUCAUAAGACUAACAAAAGAGGCUGAUGGACAAAGGAGCCAGGUGAAAAUUCCUCAUCUACAGGGCAAAAAGCAGGAUUUGAAAUAUACACAAUCUACUACAUUAGAAACAUUUCCCCUCGAAGCCUCCAAUUCCAUUUUCUCUACCACA